CCCUUAGAUGUUCUGGGCGGCCCGCGCACUACAAUGGCGCUUUCAGCGCGUUCCUAUGUUGAAUUUUCCUGGGUAUUCUUGGAAGCGGCGUCUUGACUUGGGAUAGAUCCUUGUAAUUGUUGGUUUUGAACGAGGAAUUCCUUGUAAUCGCGGUUGAUCAGCUCGCGUUGAAUACGUCCCUGCCCUUUGUACACACCGCCCGUCGCUCCUACCGAUGAAUCGUCCGGUGAAGUUCACAGAGUGGCGGUUCGUGGAGUUGCUCGCGAAGUGAAAUGGACCUCACGAUUUAGAGGAAGGAGAAGUCGUAACA
rnacentral:rRNA from 1 species